rnacentral:rRNA from 1 species
AUUGAACGCUGGCGGCAUGCCUUACACAUGCAAGUCGAACGGCAGCGCGGGGCAACCUGGCGGCGAGUGGCGAACGGGUGAGUAAUAUAUCGGAACGUACCCUGGAGUGGGGGAUAACGUAGCGAAAGUUACGCUAAUACCGCAUACGAUCUAAGGAUGAAAGCAGGGGACCGCAAGGCCUUGUGCUCCAGGAGCGGCCGAUAUCUGAUUAGCUAGUUGGUGGGGUAAAGGCCUACCAAGGCAUCGAUCAGUAGCUGGUCUGAGAGGACGACCAGCCACACUGGGACUGAGACACGGCCCAGACUCCUACGGGAGGCAGCAGUGGGGGAAUUUUGGACAAUGGGGGCAACCCUGAUCCAGCAAUGCCGCGUGAGUGAAGAAGGCC